UGAUCCACACAGCAUGUUGCAGAUUAACAAAGAAUUGAUCAUUUGCCAUCUCUUUCGGAUGCCUGCAGGAUUAGGCUCCAAGAUUGGAAGUCAACAAGUGUAAACACUGCAAAACUCAAAUCAGACUGUGAAGGAAGACCAUUAAAAUCUCCCUGGACACAGAUGUAAAGCAGACUUAGACCAAACAUGAACGGAAGAGUUGAAGAGUGACUGCCCUCAAUCUUAAAGCAACAUUGGGGAAUAUGUCAUCAUAAAGCCCUUAUAAAACUCAUCCAAGCGUAUCAAAGGGAAAACUUUCCACAUGGCAAUCAGAAAGGAAAAUGAUCAUAUAAUCCAACCAGAAAAUGACUGCAGGAUUCAUCACAACAAUGUUCUGAGGGAAACCAUUUUCAACAGCUUCACCUUUGACCUCUCCAUAGAAUUGUCAAAUAGAUCCCUGUAUAAAGGCGAUUGGAGGCAUUGCUCCUCCCUCAGUCUCUAAGAUGUCGUGGUCACGUUUGCAGCUAAUAAAAGCCCAUCUUUUGCCUCCCAUCUCCGAGCGUUAUUGAUGGUGCAUCAGGUACAAAACCAUCUCAAAGGGUCCGAACAUACCUUGGAGCUCAGUGCAGUCUAAUGUGAAAACUGGAAAGAAGUAUGAAACCACAGCCACACUGCCUAGGACAGGCCUCGCCUCUAAAGUAAGUGGCCAGAGAAUAAUGACACUUGUAAGAGAGGCCACCGUGGUGCCAACAGUCACUGAAUGAGCUGCAGAAGUCAGUGGCUGCAACUGGAGAUGAAGUUCACAGCUCCCCAGUCUCUAAGGCCUUGCACAAAAUGGAAGAGUAGCAAAGCAGGAGCUCUGGCUAAAGAAAAACUAUCCUUACCCAUAAAGGUUUUGCAAAGCAACACUUAGAAGAUACUUUAAAAAUGUGGAAGGAGCUCUUGUGGUCAGACAAGGCUAAAGAUGAACUUUUUUUUGUAACACUAAUACUGCACAUCAGCCAGUAAUGCCAUCCGUAACGUGCAGCAUGAUGUGGGGAGCAUCAUUCUGUAGAGAUGCUUUUCUGCAGCAGGGACUGGAAAUCUGGUCAGGAUUGAUGGGAAGAUGAAUACAGAGAGAUCCUGGAUAAAAAGCUGCUCGCCCCAGCCAGAAAGAUCAAACUGGGGAGGAAGUUCAUCUUUCAGCAGGACAACACCCAAAGCACAGAGCCAGAGCGACCAUUGAGUGGCUUCAAGUGAAGAAAAUUGAACAUCCACUGCCGCUCCACAACUAACCUGACGCAGCUUGAGCAAUUUUGCAAUGAGAAAUGGGCAGGUCUUACCUCAUUAUGUUGUGCAAGCUAACCUAGACAGAUCUAAAAAGUCUACUGGCUGUAAUAGCUGCAAAAGGUCAUUCAACUAAGUACUGAGCAAAGGGGGAUGAACAUUUUUUUGAACUGCUGGCAUUUCGGUUCUUGAAUUUUCACACAUUACAAUUUUCUUUGUUUUUUGGUUUCUACUGUGAAAAAAAGGAGCAUGUGAUUCACAAAUAAAAAUUCUCUAUCAAAUUGAUCAAAAUCACUGGAUGUAAUAUUUAUGUGAACAAAGGUUUGGGUGCUGAGUACUUUUACAAGGCACUCUACAUACAAUAAAA